AUACUGUAGAAGUUGUAGGGGGACCUAGGGGUAGAAGAUACAGUAUAGAGGCUGUUUUUAUUUUUGCCUUGUUUUGCUUUCCAAGGGAGCUAUCAUAGCAUGUUGGCAUGAUGGAGAGAGUGAAAGAUUGAUGGUGCAGGAGACGGGGGAAGUUAGGAGAGAUGUCCUUUUGCAGGUGAGAAGCACUGGGCACCACUCCCAGGUGACAGCAGUGACAGUGGGUACAGGAUGGACAGACAGUGGAUGAGAGGGGAAGCUCAAGGAAAUGCCCUUCUUACCUCUUCCUUUUAUUCUGACAUAGAUACCAGACCAUCAGCUGGGAGUGAGGAGGGAGAGGGGGAUGAAGAUUUAAAGAGAGAGGAAAGUGUGGAAUCAGCACCCAGGAGAAGGAGGAGCAAAUGGAACAGGGAAGUGUGGCAGCACUAAGGACCCGCUUCUGGUGCUUUUGUAAGAGCAGCGCUACCCUGGCCAAGGUCCUGCAGACCAGCACUGCUGCUGGCUUCCACGGAAAGGACUGCAGCCCUGGAUAGCCCAGCAGCCAUCCAGAGGCCUUCGGAGGCACCACAGGCAGGAUGAGCCUUGCCCUGCCAAAACAGAAGAGGCGACAGUGUGCAGCUGAUCGGAAGGGAACAUGGCUGUGACCUGGACAUCUGCUCAUCCGACACCCAGAGCCUCCCUCCCUGAAGACUCCUGGAAGAGGACCUGGACUUAUCUCUGGAUCCCUCUCCAUAAAGCCCCUGGGUACCAGGUAAUCUCAAGCAGCCCGAGGACACCACCGCCCAGCCACUUGGGGUCUAGGAGGACCCGUGCGGCCAGCACAGAGGCUCGUGGACACCAGGAGUCUUCACACAGCCUGCCUGUUGAGUCAACGAGCUGUGCAGAGGGCCUGGCUCGGAGCAAGGCGGAUCCAGGUCCAAUUCUGGGGAUUGCUGUUUAUUAACGUGUUUGCCCCGAAAGACCUGAGGAUUCUAUCUGGCUUCUUCAACCUCGAGGCAAGGGAACCCACAGAGUCUGCACCACAAAGUGGGCCCAUCCUCGCUGAAUUCAUUAUCUGAUUAAAUACUACUCAAAAGAGAGUAUUUUAUUACAAGCAAAGAAAAUGGAAAAACAAAAUUCGUCUUCUAGUGCCCUAAAGCAUAUUGUAAAUGACAAACACAUUCAAGGCAGCAAAGGCUAGAGAAAAAGAAAAGUCAAACCUAAAACCAGUUGGUGUUGGGUGGAAAGUCGUCAGGUGGGUGUAGCUUUUGCUCCAACUGCUGUGUCCCCGUCCUGCUUUUAGUGAUGGGACUUUUCAGGAGGUGAGCUCUGCCCGGGAGACCCCGAGCCUCAACUCCCCGACAUCUAGACACACGGCCAAGCUCGCUGUGAGCGGCAUGGGGACACACGGGCCCUGGAGGGCCGAGCAAUGGACGGCCACGUGUGGCUUUCUUUCUGGACUUGGCUCAGCUUCCUGCUCUCCAGGAGAGAUCUUAGCGUCUCAUGUAUGUGUGAUUUUGGUAUGUCUCGUUUCCCACAUGGAUGAAAUCAAAUGUUAGCAGCUGCCAUCAACACCAGCAAAACUAAAACCUUGUGUGUUGGCUUUCAGAAAAUGCAGUUAAGUGAGCUGGUAAUUUUGAGUUUCACCGAACAGUUUAACGAUGACUUCAACUGAAUUUGAGUCUUGUGAGUUUGUGCUAUGUGAUAAAGGAUUAAAUUAGGGCACCAAAGCCCUGAAAUUGGCAGAACUAUUACCAGCAAGGGGCUGGCUAAUUUACUGUACUUCAGCAGAAAGAAACUUUGGUGAAUCCCAUGUUUCUCCAGUCUAAGGGUGCAUCUGAAUGUGCUCCCAUCUCUUGCACUAAAGGGAGGAAGCUUGGAAAGAAGAGGCAAGGGCCCUCUGUGAGUGAGCACAGCACCAAGGGUUAGGGCACCAAGGGUGAGAGCAGCUUUUGAAACCCGUGCCUGGUGGUACUGUCAGCUGCCUCUAAUUAUGCCAGGUUCGAGCCUGGACACUCGGCAUGUGUCAUUUCUCUAGCUUUAACAAGUCUGCGCAUUGGGUGUUACUAUGCCCAUCAAAUGUAACAUCCCUGGAGGAUGAUGUUCGGACUUACACGAUCUGAAGGGCACAAUUCGGAGUGUUGAGGAUUUUGAGAUGCUUGACAUUGGCUCUGGCGACAUGGCUCUCAAAGAAUCGGCAAGGGCAUCUGUAGCUCAGGCUGACCGG